UGACAUACCUAUUUGUUGCCUCGGCGGUGCCUGUUCCGACAGCCCGCCAGAGGACCCCAAACCCUGAUUACAUUUAAGAAGUCUUCUGAGUAAACCGAUUAAAUAAAUCAAAACUUUCAACAACGGAUCUCUUGGUUCUGGCAUCGAUGAAGAACGCAGCGAAAUGCGAUAAGUAAUGUGAAUUGCAGAAUUCAGUGAAUCAUCGAAUCUUUGAACGCACAUUGCGCCCGCUAGUAUUCUGGCGGGCAUGCCUGUCCGAGCGUCAUUUCAACCCUCAAGCCCCCGGGCUUGGUGUUGGGGAUCGGCGAGCCUCCGCGCCCGCCAUCCCCUAAAUCUAGUGGCGGUCUCGCUGUAGCUUCCUCUGCGUAGUAGCACACCUCGCACUGGGAAACAGCGCGGCCACGCCGUUAAACCCCCAACUUCUGAACGUUUGACCUCGGAUCAGGUAGGAAUACCCGCUGAACUUAAGCAUAUCA
rnacentral:rRNA from 1 species